rnacentral:rRNA from 1 species
GACGAACCGUGCGAACGUUGUUCGGAAUCACUGGGCUUAAAGGGCGCGUAGGCGGGCCAUCAAGUCAGAGGUGAAAUCCCCCGGCUCAACCGGGGAACUGCCUUUGAUACUGGCGGUCUGGAGUAAGGUAGGGGCAUGCAGAACUGAUGGUGGAGCGGUGAAAUGUGUUGAUAUCAUCAGGAACUCCGGUGGCGAAAGCGGCGUGCUGGACCUUUACUGACGCUGAGGCGCGAAAGCCAGGGGAGCAAACGGG